AAGUGGUACGACUCGGGCUGCAAUCAAAAGUCUGCCUUAGCAGCUGCUGUUAGUGCGAAAUCAAACUUUGAUCCGGACUUAUUUCUGGGACCACCUUGCUCAUCUGCUAUGAGAGAAGUUGCACAACUAGCUUCUAUCUGGAGAAGACCUGUAUUUGGUUGGGUGUCCAACGAUAUCGAAUUCAGUAACAGAACAAAAUAUUCCACCUUAAUCCGGUUGCUCGGACCUUUAAACAAGCUUCCCAGUGUGAUGCGUUUUGUUUCUAAGAUGUUUAAAUGGAAAAUAUUUUCUAUGAUCCACGAUGAGGCUGCACCGUAUGCGGCUGUAGCAGCAGCCAUUGCAGAGGAUAAAGAUGCGACCAUAAGAAGUACGCAUGAAGUUAACGUACGGAUGGAGGAUAAUGAAAUAGAAAGCAUAUUCAAACAAGUUCGUAAAAACU